rnacentral:rRNA from 1 species
CCUACGGGAGGCAGCAGUGAGGAAUAUUGGUCAAUGGCCGGGAGACUGAACCAGCCAAGCCGCGUGAGGGAGUAAGGUCCUGUGGGUCGUAAACCUCUUUUGUCAGGGAACAAAGGCUUCCACGUGUGGCCGGGAGGAGAGUACCUGAGGAAAAAGCAUGGGCUAACUCCGGCCCAGCAGCCGCGGUAAUACGGAGGAUGCGAGCGUUUUCCGGGUUUAUUGGGUUUAAAGGUUGCGUAGGCGGAGUGUAAAGUCAGCGGUAAAAGCUCGGGGCUCAACCCCGUCGUGCCGUUGAAACUGGCGGUCUCGAGUGAGAGAGAAGUAUGCGGAAUGCGCGGUGUAGCGGUGAAAUGCAUAGAUAGCACGCAGAACGCCGAUUGCGAAGGCAGCAUACCGGCGCCAAACUGACGCUGAGGCACGAAAGUGUGGGUAUCGAACAGGAUUAGAUACCCGUGUAGUC